GUGGGGUGAUGGCCUACCAAGGCGACGACGGGUAGCCGGCCUGAGAGGGCGACCGGCCACACUGGGACUGAGACACGGCCCAGACUCCUACGGGAGGCAGCAGUGGGGAAUAUUGCACAAUGGGCGAAAGCCUGAUGCAGCGACGCCGCGUGAGGGAUGACGGCCUUCGGGUUGUAAACCUCUUUCAGCAGGGAAGAAGCGCAAGUGACGGUACCUGCAGAAGAAGCACCGGCUAACUACGUGCCAGCAGCCGCGGUAAUACGUAGGGUGCGAGCGUUGUCCGGAAUUAUUGGGCGUAAAGAGCUCGUAGGCGGUCUGUCGCGUCGGAUGUGAAAGCCCGGGGCUUAACUCCGGGUCUGCAUUCGAUACGGGCAGACUAGAGUGUGGUAGGGGAGAUCGGAAUUCCUGGUGUAGCGGUGAAAUGCGCAGAUAUCAGGAGGAACACCGGUGGCGAAGGCGGAUCUCUGGG
rnacentral:rRNA from 1 species